rnacentral:tmRNA from 1 species
GGGGGUGAAAGGCUUCGACCCAGAUAAGCAAGAUAAGGGCGGCAUGUAGAGGUUGCUAGGAGGCCUCUUGGCGCAAGCCAUCCCGAGCGAAAGCGAAGGAUAAAACACCUGGCAAAAAUCAAAUGCUGAUAACGUAAAAGUUCCAGCAACGGUGAAUGAGCUCCUAAGCGCCAUGCAAGUGGUGCCGGAUCCCAUUCUACCGGUAGCGUUACCUUUAUAAGGUAACCCGUCAACUGAUUCAUCCUGCGGGGUCAGAUUGGCGAAGAUAGCAGGAUAGUUUCGCCGAUAUAUCCUUUUGUCGGUGGGAUGAAACUUUAAAAGGAUACCCUUUCGAAAUUCCUCCUAUUGAAGUUCGCAAAGGGGAAAUUAAAGAUUAGGAUAAACAUGUAGAGACCUUUGUUCUGAUGUUUGGGGACGCGAGUUCGAAUCUCGCCACCUCCACCA